rnacentral:rRNA from 1 species
UACGUAGGCAGCAAGCGUUGUUCGGAGUUACUGGGCGUAAAGGGUGUGUAGGCGGUUCUUUAAGUUUGGGGUGAAAUCUCCCGGCUCAACCGGGAGGGUGCGCCGAAUACUGAGGGACUAGAGUGUGGGAGAGGAAAGUGGAAUUCCUGGUGUAGCGGUGAAAUGCGUAGAUAUCAGGAGGAACACCGGUGGUGUAGACGGCUUUCUGGACCGUAACUGACGCUGAGACACGAAAGCGUGGGUAGCAAACAGG